UACAGGAAAUUGUAACUAACUUUCUAGAAAAUUUUUAUGAAUAUCUUUGCGAAAUCUUAUAUUCCAAUUUAAACUUUGUUUUAUAGUAUUUGUGGCAAUGAUACUUUAUUAUGCUAAUAUGCUUGAUUUGAUACUAUAUCAAUAUUCUCAAACCAAUUAAUAUUGCACCUUAGUAUGAGAAAAUCUGUUCACCAGAUUAACAAUUAUUCACAGUGUUCUUUUUAUGCAUUCUCCAUAGUCUUUAUGCUAAUAUAUUCUUUUGCUGAAUUGUUACUAAAUUGUUAGUAUAAAUUUUUUACAGACUUAUUCUGAAGCUUUGUGUGAUUUUUGGAAAAAUUUGUUUUAGCUAAAUGAAAGAAGAAAAGAAAACAUAGUUGUUCAUUUUAAUCCAGUUAACAAAGUGCUUUAAUAUUUUGGAAAGGAAACUGACAGAAUGAUCUUGGUAAAGCAUUAGAAGAACUUAAGAAUACAGAUUUGAAGAAUUGAACACAAAAAAUCGGGAUGAUUUUCAUUUUACUAAGUAUGAUUGGAGAAUGUGCAUUCAACAACAUUGCUUCUACUCCAGAAAUGAAGGUGCCCUCAAUGUAUCAUUUGUAUAUUCCUGAGCAAGAACUAAAGCCACCUAAUAUGUUUCAACCUUCAUUUAGUAGCAAAACUUUGUCAAUAAAAAUGGAUUAGGUGUCUAUCACACUGAUCAACCUUUUAACGAAACUGUUCAACCAUUGUCCAAUCAUCUGCCUCAUAACACUUCUUGGAAGGUUCUCCUAC